rnacentral:rRNA from 1 species
UUGCUGGGUGGAUCAGUGGCGAACGGGUGAGUACACGUGAGCAACCUGCCCCUGACUCUGGGAUAAGCGCUGGAAACGGCGUCUAAUACUGGAUACGAACAGCGACCGCAUGGUCAGUUGUUGGAAAGAAUUUCGGUUGGGGAUGGGCUCGCGGCCUAUCAGCUUGUUGGUGAGGUAAUGGCUCACCAAGGCGUCGACGGGUAGCCGGCCUGAGAGGGUGACCGGCCACACUGGGACUGAGACACGGCCCAGACUCCUACGGGAGGCAGCAGUGGGGAAUAUUGCACAAUGGGCGCAAGCCUGAUGCAGCAACGCCGCGUGAGGGAUGACGGCCUUCGGGUUGUAAACCUCUUUUAGCAGGGAAGAAGCGAAAGUGACGGUACCUGCAGAAAAAGCACCGGCUAACUACGUGCCAGCAGCCGCGGUAAUACGUAGGGUGCAAGCGUUAUCCGGAAUUAUUGGGCGUAAAGAGCUCGUAGGCGGUUUGUCGCGUCUGCUGUGAAAUCUGGGGGCUCAAC